AAAUCAAAUCACUUCAUCUCACUGAGACUAAAAUGACCAAAUAUGCAGAAAACUCACCUCCAAGGUCUGCUUACUUCAUCAGGUCUUUGUGACCUAAGCCCCCUAGACAGUAUAUAAGGGGGUGCCCAGGCUCAGUCUGCCACUGCUGUGGUUAAGAGUAAUCCUGCAAUGGUGGUGUACAAUACAGACAGGGUCAAAAACCCUGUAAUAUGCUGAAGCUGAAUUCAAUCAAGGCUUCGAAACCCUGAGAGGGAAGGGGAAUGAAACUGCCUCCAGCAACACCCUCACCAUGAGAGCAAAAUGGAGGAAGAAAAGAAUGCGUCGACUCAAAAGGAAGAGAAGAAAAAUGAGACAACGGUCAAAGUGACCGAGCCAAGUUCACUUAUCUUAGUUAGGAUGCUUUAGAUUUUAGCAUUGUAAACUGGACCAACGAAUUUCAUUUCCUUUAAUG
rnacentral:lncRNA from 1 species